rnacentral:tRNA from 1 species
AGAAAAGUAAGCUAAAUUUAAGCUAAUGGGUUCAUACCCCAUCUAUAGAGUAUAUCUCUUUUCUA